AACGAACGCUGGCGGCGUGCCUAACACAUGCAAGUCGUGCGAGAAAGUUUCCUUCGGGAAGCGAGUAAAGCGGCGCACGGGUGAGUAACACGUAGGUAACCUACCUUUCAGUCCGGAAUAACCAGCUGAAAAGCUGGCUAAUGCCGGGUAAGACCACGACCUCUACGGGGGUCGCGGCCAAAGGCGGCCUCUUCAUGAAAGCUGAUGCUGAGAGAUGGGCCUGCGCACCAUUAGCUAGUUGGUGAGGUAAUAGCUCACCAAGGCUUUGAUGGUUAGCUGGUCUGAGAGGAUGACCAGCCACACUGGGACUGAGACACGGCCCAGACUCCUACGGGAGGCAG
rnacentral:rRNA from 1 species